rnacentral:tRNA from 1 species
GCGGGUAUAGUUUAGUGGCAGAAUGAUUGCUUCCCAAGCAAUAGACCCGGGUUCGAUUCCCGGUACCCGCA